ACGGGAGAAUAAUUGGAAAUUCGGGUUAGGCGAAUAUAUAGGGGAAAUGCUGCCCGAUUUUCGUUAAGUCCUUAACUAAAGAGAAACCCUAAACGAGAAAGUAUGAGUUAAAGAAUAAGUUCUAUAAGCGAUGAGCUGCGGAAUUACGAGCUAGAAAGUAUAGUACUAACGAUAGCGUUACUUUUAUAUUAAAUAGGCUAAAGGGGCGACGAAGCGAACGGUUUUGCGAUUAGUCGUCAACAGGUGCAGAUACUCGCUUUGGUGAUCCGCCAGCUUAGGAUUCCCUUUCUGCUGUCUUGGAGAGCUCCGUUGUUCCGGAGCCUAGAUUUUGGUACAGACCCUUUUUUUUUUAUGUAUAUAUGUAUCUGUUGUCUAAGGGUACGACGGGGCCCUGUCCCGUCAUAUUUCACUGUUGAAACUCUUAGAGGUCUGUGGACAUGUAUGUGGGUUGUAUUCAGAUAUGGUCAGUUGUGUAUAUGAUCAUUAUGCG